GCCCAUAGCCGUAGAUUAAGCCUGCUAA
rnacentral:piRNA from 1 species